rnacentral:rRNA from 1 species
AUUGAACGCUGGCGGCAUGCCUUACACAUGCAAGUCGAACGGUAACGCGGGGCAACCUGGCGACGAGUGGCGAACGGGUGAGUAAUACAUCGGAACGUGCCCAGUAAUGGGGGAUAGCCCGGCGAAAGCCGGAUUAAUACCGCAUACGACCUAAGGGUGAAAGAGGGGGAUCGCAAGACCUCUCGGUAUUGGAGCGGACGCUGGCAGAUUAGGUAGUUGGUGGGGUAAAGGCCUACCAAGCCGACGAUCUGUAGCCGGGCUGAGAGGACGAACAGCCACACUGGGACUGAGACACGGCCCAGACUCCUACGGGAGGCAGCAGUGGGGAAUUUUGGACAAUGGACGCAAGUCUGAUCCAGCAAUGCCGCGUGCGGGAAGAAGGCCUUCGGGUUGUAAACCGCUUUUGUCAGGGAAGAAAUCUUCUGGGUUAAUACCUCGGGAGGAUGACGGUACCUGAAGAAUAAGCACCGGCUAACUACGUGCCAGCCGCCGCUGUAAGAC